UAUAUAUAUAUAUAGAGAGAGAGAGAAAAUUGAGCUUUUAUGCUAUUAAAAGUAUCAAUUCAUUUGUGUUUGUAGAUUUUCGGUCCUUAAAUUAAGAAAUGUGCAGUUAGAAUGAUAAUAGUCCUCUAAAAUUAAGUGGGUGGUUGGUUGAAUAGUAUGAUCUAAUGAGUAGAAAUGAUCAAAGGAUAAAUCUAACAGUAAAAAAUUUACAAGUAUUAAGUGCUUGAUGUUUUUAAAAACACCACAACCGCACUCUCUCUCUUUCUAUAUUGGAAAAGGUUUUAUAAAAAUUAUAGAGAAUUAGAGAGCAUAAAGCAUCGAUCAGAAGGUAGUGUGAGAUUAUAAACCUUCUAUUUCUCUUUUACUAUGAAUAUUUUGGCUUUGUAUGUUGAGACUUAAUUAUAACAGAUAUGAAUCAUGAUCAGGAUAAUAAUUUCUCUGAAUUUGAUAAUGUAUAUAAUUGUACAGAAUAAUAAGAUCAUUUCUGUUAGAUGUGACUCGAAAUCUACUAUCGAUUCAGGUUCGAGUUUACGACUCGCCGACAGCUUCGCGGUGCGACCAAUUUGGAAAAGAAAAUUAUGGAGGAAAAAUGAAUGUCUGUGAUGGGUAGCGGAGGGCUCGGGCCGACAGGCCCGAGCCCGUAGCCCACCACUGACAUUCGCCAGGGGGUGCGGGGGCGGAGCCCCCCGCGGUACGGGUCGGAUCCGAAACCCGUUAUGAGUCUUUUCUUUUCGUUUAUCGUUUAUGCCCUAGAGGCGUGUGAUCGUGGUUGGUCGUAACCUGAAGAACAUUGUAUUCUCUUUUUCAUUCCAUAGUGAAGACCUCUCCUCCCUCGCCCGUGGUUUUUUCCCUGCAAAGGGUUUUCCACGUAAAUCUGUGUCUCUUUAUUUUUCUGCUUGUGGUUUGAUUGUAUUUUGUGUUCGUCAUUUUCGUUUCCGUUUGUGCGUUUGUCGUAACACUCGUAAUGAGAUCAUUAAUACUGUAUUCAGACCGAUCAUCCCUAGUGCAAGUAGCAAAGAGUUUGGUGGUUGAUACCCGAGGUCCUAAGUUCGAAGCUUUUUUUUUUUUUGAGAGAGAUAGGUAGCACGCUACCCGCUUCGUUUAUUUCAUUUAGAAAUAAACUUAGCUAGAAAUGUGAAUUAACUAGGAUUCCGUUUAUUUCAUUUCGUUUCCGUUUGUGCGUUUGUCGUAACAAUUUCUAAUUAGCUAUUAUUAAACUUUUACGAGUU
rnacentral:lncRNA from 1 species